rnacentral:rRNA from 1 species
AGAGUUUGAUCCUGGCUCAGAUUGAACGCUGGCGGCAUGCCUUACACAUGCAAGUCGAACGGUAACAGGUCUUCGGAUGCUGACGAGUGGCGAACGGGUGAGUAAUACAUCGGAACGUGCCUAGUAGUGGGGGAUAACUACUCGAAAGAGUAGCUAAUACCGCAUGAGAUCUACGGAUGAAAGCAGGGGAUCGCAAGACCUUGUGCUACUAGAGCGGCUGAUGGCAGAUUAAGUAGUUGGUGGGAUAAAAGCUUACCAAGCCGACGAUCUGUAGCUGGUCUGAGAGGACGAUCAGCCACACUGGGACUGAGACACGGCCCAGACUCCUACGGGAGGCAGCAGUGGGGAAUUUUGGACAAUGGGCGAAAGCCUGAUCCAGCAAUGCCGCGUGCAGGAUGAAGGCCUUCGGGUUGUAAACUGCUUUUGUACGGAACGAAAAGCUUCGGGUUAAUACCCUGGAGUCAUGACGGUACCGUAAGAAUAAGCACCGGCUAACUACGUGCCAGCAGCCGCGGUAAUACGUAGGGUGCAAGCGUUAAUCGGAAUUACUGGGCGUAAAGCGUGCGCAGGCGGUUUUGUAAGACAGUGGUGAAAUCCCCGGGCUCAACCUGGGAACUGCCAUUGUGACUGCAAGGCUAGAGUACGGCAGAGGGGGGUGGAAUUCCGCGUGUAGCAGUGAAAUGCGUAGAUAUGCGGAGGAACACCGAUGGCGAAGGCAACCCCCUGGGCCUGUACUGACGCUCAUGCACGAAAGCGUGGGGAGCAAACAGGAUUAGAUACCCUGGUAGUCCACGCCCUAAACGA